CUUUAGACUAUUACAUGCCACGUGGUAAGUGUUGUGCCACUUACCACGUGGCAUGUAAUAGUCUAAAGG